UCAAUGCACUAAGCCAAAAGGAGUCUGUCGUGAUGGCUUAAACCAUGGCCUCUAGUUAAAAGAUGAUGGACACUGUAUAUCGCUCUGCCUUAGCUAUUACGAUAAGGGCACCUAUCUCACUUAGAUAUGAGCCAUACCUGAUCUCUUUAUGAAGAUCUGGGAAGCCCAUGCUACAGACCCAGAACUCACCAAGAAUCUAUGUAAAUU
rnacentral:lncRNA from 1 species